GAAAAAGGAAGGCAGUCUAAGGUUGCUAUAUCCUGUCGCAACGACUGCAUCCUUGCAAUUGCAAU
rnacentral:sRNA from 1 species